AAGUCAAUAAAAGCGUGCAAUCGAUGUCGCCGGCACUUUAUUAGAAAAUAAGCUAUAUCAAAUCAUAUAUUUUGUGUGCUAUACAUUCAUGGACCCAUAGCCUCCCUAGGCAUGGUAUACUUUUUAUUUCUCCUUUACUUAUAAACUUGGUAGGAAGCGUAGAUACCCUAAUUUUGUAACAUACGUGACUGUCGCCAACUCAAUUUUUAAAAUUGAACAAGCAAAUAUAAAAAUCUGAGAGCGUGUUUUUUAAUUUUCUUUGCGUUUAUAUCAUUUGUAUUUCCUAAAUUUUCAUUCAAUAAAAGUUUAACACCUUUUACGUAUGAUUUUAAGCAGUGGUGUAUAUAUUACUCCAUGUCGCCAGAUUAUAUUAUGUGAUCAUAGGGUCAAUUAAACACCCAAUGUAUGAACAAAGAUUUCGUAUUAUCUUUAUGUUUUUGAUCUAUUUUGGCGCUAAAAUAUUCAAAAACUGUGUGAAAAUAUUCAUCAAGCGAUAUUUGGAUGUGGCAUUGAGAAGAAGUCAUCAUUAUUCUCAAAUUUUGCAUUCUGAUUUUAGAAAUGUAACAUACGAUACAAUAAUUUUUUUUAUGAAAACGUAUUUGCAGAGCAAAUGUUACCCCUUUUAUGAAAAUCUCGUAGUGUACAGAGAAUGAAAAUAUAAACAUUUCUUUUGCAGAAGUCAUUGGUUGGUCUGAAAUUUGACAAACGUGUCAAGAUGUAACAUUCGUGAUGUAACAUUCGUUACCGAGAAAUUAAUUAAAAGGAAUGAUAUCACAAUUUCCCGCGUAUUUUUGCUCUCUGUCUGCAUGAUGUGGUAUACGACAUGAAUGUCUACUAUGAACAUUUGAGUUUGAAAGUCAAUACGUGUUAAACUUUGAGAAUUAGGAUUAAUUUUCUCUUACGAAAUGGCGCUUGUGAGAGCAGAAGUACAGAAUAACUACCAUGAAAAAAAAUGCAUUAAAACAUAAGAACAACCAUGAAAAAUUGUUUUAGAAAUAAUAUUAUAUGC